UUUGGUUAAGUUAGAAAGGGCGCACGGUGGAUGCCUUGACACUAGGAGUCGAUGAAGGACGGGACUAACGCCGAUAUGCUUCGGGGAGCUGUAAGUAAGCUUUGAUCCGAAGAUUUCCGAAUGGGGAAACCCACCAUACGUAAUGGUAUGGUAUCCUUAUCUGAAUACAUAGGGUAAGGAAGACAGACCCAGGGAACUGAAACAUCUAAGUACCUGGAGGAAGAGAAAGCAAAUGCGAUUUCCUGAGUAGCGGCGAGCGAAACGGAACAUAGCCCAAACCAAGAGGCUUGCCUCUUGGGGUUGUAGGACAUUCUAUACGGAGUUACAAAGGAACGAGGUAGACGAAGCGACCUGGAAAGGUCCGUCGUAGAGGGUAACAACCCCGUAGUCGAAACUUCGUUCUCUCUUGAAUGUAUCCUGAGUACGGCGGAACACGUGAAAUUCCGUCGGAAUCUGGGAGGACCAUCUCCCAAGGCUAAAUACUCCCUAGUGAUCGAUAGUGAACCAGUACCGUGAGGGAAAGGUGAAAAGCACCCCGGAAGGGGAGUGAAAGAGAUCCUGAAACCGUGUGCCUACAAAUAGUCAGAGCCCGUUAACGGGUGAUGGCGUGCCUUUUGUAGAAUGAACCGGCGAGUUACGAUCCCGUGCGAGGUUAAGCUGAAGAGGCGGAGCCGCAGCGAAAGCGAGUCUGAAUAGGGCGUUUAGUACGUGGUCGUAGACCCGAAACCAGGUGAUCUACCCAUGUCCAGGGUGAAGUUCAGGUAACACUGAAUGGAGGCCCGAACCCACGCACGUUGAAAAGUGCGGGGAUGAGGUGUGGGUAGCGGAGAAAUUCCAAUCGAACCUGGAGAUAGCUGGUUCUCCCCGAAAUAGCUUUAGGGCUAGCCUUAAGUGUAAGAGUCUUGGAGGUAGAGCACUGAUUGGACUAGGGGUCCUCAUCGGAUUACCGAAUUCAGUCAAACUCCGAAUGCCAAUGACUUAUCCUUAGGAGUCAGACUGCGAGUGAUAAGAUCCGUAGUCAAAAGGGAAACAGCCCAGACCGCCAGCUAAGGUCCCAAAGUGUGUAUUAAGUGGAAAAGGAUGUGGAGUUGCUUAGACAACUAGGAUGUUGGCUUAGAAGCAGCCACCAUUUAAAGAGUGCGUAAUAGCUCACUAGUCGAGUGACUCUGCGCCGAAAAUGUACCGGGGCUAAAUACACCACCGAAGCUGCGGAUUGAUACCAAUGGUAUCAGUGGUAGGGGAGCGUUCUAAGGACAGUGAAGUCAGACCGUAAGGACUGGUGGAGUGCUUAGAAGUGAGAAUGCCGGUAUGAGUAGCGAAAGACGGGUGAGAAUCCCGUCCACCGAAUGCCUAAGGUUUCCUGAGGAAGGCUCGUCCGCUCAGGGUUAGUCAGGACCUAAGCCGAGGCCGACAGGCGUAGGCGAUGGACAACAGGUUGAUAUUCCUGUACCACCUCUUUAUCGUUUGAGCAAUGGAGGGACGCAGAAGGAUAGAAGAAGCGUGCGAUUGGUUGUGCACGUCCAAGCAGUUAGGCUGAUAAGUAGGCAAAUCCGCUUAUCGUAAAGGCUGAGCUGUGAUGGGGAAGCUCCUUAUGGAGCGAAGUCUUUGAUUCCCCGCUGCCAAGAAAAGCUUCUAGCGAGAUAAAAGGUGCCUGUACCGCAAACCGACACAGGUAGGCGAGGAGAGAAUCCUAAGGUGUGCGAGAGAACUCUGGUUAAGGAACUCGGCAAAAUGACCCCGUAACUUCGGGAGAAGGGGUGCUUUCUUAACGGAAAGCCGCAGUGAAUAGGCCCAAGCGACUGUUUAGCAAAAACACAGCUCUCUGCGAAGCCGUAAGGCGAAGUAUAGGGGGUGACACCUGCCCGGUGCUGGAAGGUUAAGGAGAGGGGUUAGCGUAAGCGAAGCUCUGAACUGAAGCCCCAGUAAACGGCGGCCGUAACUAUAACGGUCCUAAGGUAGCGAAAUUCCUUGUCGGGUAAGUUCCGACCCGCACGAAAGGUGUAACGAUUUGGGCACUGUCUCAACCAGAGACUCGGUGAAAUUAUAGUACCUGUGAAGAUGCAGGUUACCCGCGACAGGACGGAAAGACCCCGUGGAGCUUUACUGUAGCCUGAUAUUGAAUUUUGGUACAGUUUGUACAGGAUAGGCGGGAGCCAUUGAAACCGGAGCGCUAGCUUCGGUGGAGGCGCUGGUGGGAUACCGCCCUGACUGUAUUGAAAUUCUAACCUACGGGUCUUAUCGACCCGGGAGACAGUGUCAGGUGGGCAGUUUGACUGGGGCGGUCGCCUCCUAAAGUGUAACGGAGGCGCCCAAAGGUUCCCUCAGAAUGGUUGGAAAUCAUUCGUAGAGUGCAAAGGCAUAAGGGAGCUUGACUGCGAGACCUACAAGUCGAGCAGGGACGAAAGUCGGGCUUAGUGAUCCGGUGGUUCCGCAUGGAAGGGCCAUCGCUCAACGGAUAAAAGCUACCCCGGGGAUAACAGGCUUAUCUCCCCCAAGAGUCCACAUCGACGGGGAGGUUUGGCACCUCGAUGUCGGCUCAUCGCAUCCUGGGGCUGUAGUCGGUCCCAAGGGUUGGGCUGUUCGCCCAUUAAAGCGGUACGCGAGCUGGGUUCAGAACGUCGUGAGACAGUUCGGUCCCUAUCCGUCGUGGGCGUAGGAAAUUUGAGAGGAGCUGUCCUUAGUACGAGAGGACCGGGAUGGACGCACCGCUGGUGUACCAGUUGUUCUGCCAAGGGCAUAGCUGGGUAGCUAUGUGCGGAAGGGAUAAGUGCUGAAAGCAUCUAAGCAUGAAGCCCCCCUCAAGAUGAGAUUUCCCAUAGCGUAAGCUAGUAAGAUCCCUGAAAGAUGAUCAGGUUGAUAGGUUCGAGGUGGAAGCAUGGUGACAUGUGGAGCUGACGAAUACUAAUAGAUCGAGGACUUAACCAUAUAA
rnacentral:rRNA from 3 species